UAGGGAAUCUUCCGCAAUGGGCGCAAGCCUGACGGAGCAACGCCGCGUGAGUGAUGAAGGCCUUCGGGUUGUAAAACUCUGUCUUCUGUGAAGAACCAUCCUGUGCAGAGAAAGCUCAGGACCUGACGGUAACAGAGGAGGAAGCCCCGGCUAACUACGUGCCAGCAGCCGCGGUAAUACGUAGGGGGCAAGCGUUGUCCGGAUUCACUGGGCGUAAAGCGCGCGCAGGCGGUCUCUCACGUCCGGGGUGAAAGCCCAGAGCUCAACUCUGGGAUUGCCUUGGAUACGGGGAGACUUGAGGAUCGGAGAGGCAAGGGGAAUUCCACGUGUAGCGGUGAAAUGCGUAGAGAUGUGGAGGAACACCUGUGGCGAAGGCGCCUUGCUGGCCGAUUUCUGACGCUGAGGCGCGAAAGCGUGGGGAGCAAACAGGAUUAGAUACCCCCGUAGUCC
rnacentral:rRNA from 1 species